UACAGAGGUCUCGAGCGUUAGGCGGAAUCACUGGGCUUAAAGCGUGUGUAGGCGGAUCGGUAAGUACCUUGUGAAAUCCCACAGCUUAACUGUGGAACUGCUUGGUAUACUGCCAGUCUUGAGCCACUUAGGGGCUACCGGAACAAAUGGUGGAGCGGUGAAAUGCGUAGAUAUUCGCAAGAACACCAGUGGCGAAGGCGGCUCACUGGCCCGGUACUGACGCUGAGGUGCGAAAGCGUGGGGAGCAAACAGG
rnacentral:rRNA from 1 species